rnacentral:rRNA from 1 species
AGUGAACGCUGGCGGCAGGCCUAACACAUGCAAGUCGAACGGCAGCACAGCAGUAGCAAUACUGUGGGUGGCGAGUGGCGGACGGGUGAGGAAUACAUCGGAAUCUACCUUGUCGUGGGGGAGUAACGUAGGGAAACGUUACGCUAAUACCGCAUACGAACUAUGGUUGAAAGCGGCGGACCGCAAGGCGUCGCGCGAUUGG